rnacentral:tRNA from 1 species
GGUCGCUUAGCUCAGUUGGUAGAGCGCCACCCUUACAAGGUGGAUGUCAUAAGUUCGAGUCUUAUAGCUG